UAUAUAUAUAAAGGAGGAUCUCCACACGGAUGACGUGGAGCCUCUCACCUCUCUUUUUUUCUUUUUCCUCAAUUCUCAUGAUCUUUCGUCUAUUUUCUCUCAAUUUCUACAAUCUCAACAAUCUCAGUACUCCUGUUUGUUAAUUUUGAGAUUUCCGCUGCAGAAAUCGAAAGGUCUCACUACUCAUUAUUCAAAUUACUGCUCCACACGGAUGACGUGGAGCCUCUCACCUCUCUUUUUUUUCUUUUUCUUCAAUUCUCAUGAUCUCUCGUCUUAUUUCUCUCAAUUUCUACAAUCUCAACAAUCUCAGUACUCCUGUUUGUUAAUUUUGAGAUUUCCGCUGCAGAAAUCGAAAGGCAAAUGCAAUCGCAGACCUACAGCAAAGCGUCCGAGACAGAGAGAGAGGAGAUGAUUGUAUAUUGGGUCGCUACAUUGAUCUCGCCACAUUGAUUUGGAUAUACUGAUAAUCUCGGGAUUAUGUUAUUUCCUAUGCAUUUGCUCAUUAGCCUCCAGUUGCUCUUGGCGUCCAAUUGGGCAUCAGUGUACUGCUGCGAAAUAGCUUGAUAUUUGUAUGGAUUUUUCCUGUUAUCAGUUUUUUGAGUUGGGUGUUUAGGUUUCAGGGCACGUUGGUUGUUCUAUUAUUUGAAAGGCAGACAAGUUGAUUAUGGGGAGGAGCAUAGCAAAGCUUCUGGAUGCUUGUAAUUUGGUCGAGUUUCUGAAAAAGGUUAACUUUUUGGCUUUUUUGCUUUAUAUUUUUGAUUAAUUUGUAGUUUGGAGAAGCAAGAGGAGGUCAAAAAAAUAAUUCAAGAAGUCACUGUCCAUGGAUUUCUCAGUUCUGCUUCUACUCAGUUUCGGCCUCGCAUUUGGAAGAAAAAAAUGAUAGGAAUUUGUUUUACACUUUCGUCCUCACGAUUAUGCAGGUUAGUUUUUAGAUCUUUGCUUACAUAUAUAGACUAUAUAGUACGCCGUUGGCAAUUUAAUUUUUGUAUCAGGGCAGUACCAGUAGCUUUUUGCUUAUUUUCUGCAUGGCCAUCACAACACCUUACCUUCAUACAUUUUCCAUUUGAAAAGCUAUAGGAACAUGCUCCAUAGUUUUGUCUUUACAAUGAUAAAAAAAUGUCAGCCACCUCUUUAGGAAGCUAGAAAUAUCGAGAAUCAAAGUCGAGGGUAAAAGGUUUUAUAUUUAGUUAAUCAUGCAGUUAAUUGCACGCAUAGGCAGAUAAUUAAUGUUAAAUUUUCUUGACAAGAUGAUUAGGAGCCCCACAUACAAACUUAUAUAACCUUGCUGCUCUUUAAAGUUCAGUAAACCGAUCUUUGUUCAAUGUGGAUUAGCUCUUAAAUAAAGUUAUAUCUCUGCAAUCUUCAUGUCAUCCUAGGUCUGUCGCGCUUGAUCAUAUUUUUUUCAUGAUCAUGUCACUGUGAGACUCUUUCUAUCAUAUCUGUUAACUUGAAAUCUUUGAAAGGCAGGAAUCAAAUGUGUUAUUUGAUGCUCACUUACUUGGUGCCAUUUUUGUGGUCACUCUUGCUGGUGAUUUGACUACUAAUUCGUUCUACCUUCUGAUAAUUA